rnacentral:rRNA from 1 species
GACGAACGCUGGCGGCAGGCUUAACACAUGCAAGUCGAACGCCCCGCAAGGGUAGUGGCAGACGGGUGAGUAACACGUGGGAACGUACCCUUUGGUUCGGAAUAACUUGGGGAAACUCAAGCUAAUACCGGAUAAGCCCUUAUGGGGAAAGGUUUACUGCCGAAGGAUCGGCCCGCGUCUGAUUAGCUAGUUGGUGAGGUAAUGGCUCACCAAGGCGACGAUCAGUAGCUGGUCUGAGAGGAUGAUCAGCCACACUGGGACUGAGACACGGCCCAGACUCCUACGGGAGGCAGCAGUGGGGAAUAUUGGACAAUGGGGGCAACCCUGAUCCAGCCAUGCCGCGUGAGUGAUGAAGGCCUUAGGGUUGUAAAGCUCUUUUACCCGGGACGAUAAUGACUGUACCGGGAGAAUAAGCCCCGGCUAACUUCGUGCCAGCCGCCGCGGUAA